rnacentral:rRNA from 1 species
AGCAUGUGGUUUAAUUCGAAGCAACGCGAAGAACCUUUACCAGGUCUUGACAUCCGAUGCUAUUUCUAGAGAUAGAAAGUUACUUCGGUACAUCGGUGACAGGUGGUGCAUGGUUGUCGUCAGCUCGUGUCGUGAGAUGUUGGGUUAAGUCCCGCAACGAGCGCAACCCCUAUUGUUAGUUGCCAUCAUUCAGUUGGGCACUCUAGCGAGACUGCCGGUAAUAAACCGGAGGAAGGUGGGAUGACGUCAAAUCGUCAUGCCCCUUAUGACCUGGGCUACACACGUGCUACAAUGGUUGGUACAACGAGUUGCGAGUCGGUGACGGCGAGCUAAUCUCUUAAAGCCAAUCUCAGUUCGGAUUGUAGGCUGCAACUCGCCUGCAUGAAGAUGGAGUUGCUAGUAAACGCAGGUCAGCUAUACUGCGUUGAAUACGUUCCCGGGGCUU